GCCGGUGGAGCUCGAAGUGGAAGAGCAACCCCUUACAAGGGUAGGUUCAAGGUUCGAACCCUUGCAUCGGCA
rnacentral:tRNA from 5 species